GGAAGAAAUAGGUCAAAGUUGAAAAAACGGCAAAUCCAUAAAGAAAAUACUCUCUUAUGAAAAAUUCUUAUUGAAGUUUUGGCGAUAUAUAACCCCUAGAAUUAAAAAAUAAUAAUUUUCUGGGGAAUCCUCUCACUGUCGAAUGACGAGAUAAAAUGCAAAUUUCCCGCUUUGGGCGCAUGCGCAAGAAUCUAGGUUAGUAGAACGUAAACAUAUAUCGGCAGAAACAUGGCUUCCGAAGCCAAGAGAUGUCGGCCUAGAAUUGAAACGAGUUCGGCAACAAAGCGACGUAAACAGAAAUGGUCACAGGACAACCCGGUUAUAUGACUGGGGAAACAACACACUAGUUGGAAGACAUUCAAUGAAGAAAAUAGUUUCUCUACAAACGAGCAUGCAGCACGGAUUCUUCUGGAUAAGUGUGCACUUCAGUGACACAAAAAGUUCAUGCAGGUGAAGACAUCCCCACACCAGCUGGAACUUCUAUGCCCGCCGCCCGGACCGCCAUCACAUGUGUGCACCCCUACACCAGUAACAUCUACGCCUACACAUGCCCAUAAAGAACCUAUAGCUAUAGAUAGACCUCCGAUGUCUCAGAUAUAGAAGCUCAGUCAUCACACUCGUCUGAUUUAUCUUGUGUGGAAGCAUUACAAUCAGACUCCGAGAGUAACAUUAAUGUCAGCUUGCUUUCCCAUUACCAACAGAAGGCUAAAGAGGAUGACACCUCAUUUAUUGAUAUACCUCAGACACAUCAACCUGAACACUUGCCAAUGGCUGAAGAUCCCAUAGAAAUGGAAGAGGUUGAUGUUGAUGAUGAGCUUACAGAGGAUGAAGGAGACAUUGUGGAAACAGACACUCAAAAGGAUAGUGUUGAAGAAAGGAAAUCAAUAUGCUUCCAAAGUGCCUUGUUGUAACUCACGUCAGUUCAAAUACCCACAACUUGUCAAAGAAAAGCAUGUGGUGCAAAUAUCAUUGUCCAGUGCAGAUAUGUUGGAUGUGCAGUACAGUUGAAAUGAAUUGGAGGAGCAGCAUUUGGUACUAGUCCUGGAUCCUCUGGAUCUUGUGGAUCCUCUGGUUCACCUGCAUUUUCGCAAAGGUCAAAAACUAGGCCUGGCUGACGAUACACUAGCUGAAGAACUAAAUUUAUCAGUGGCUUUAGGUCCAUCCUUCUGAUUAUAUCCUAACACAUAAAACAAUUAUUAUAGAACAAAUCCAUGUGGGUGGGUGUACUGUAGUAUUCUAAUGUAUAACAAUAACUGUUUUUCCUUAUUUUUGGUUUUGGAGUUGAUAAAUUAUAAUGCACUUAUAUAACUUUUUCCCUCAAAUUUCAUCCCAAAUUUUUCUACUAAGGUUUUAUUUAAGGUAUGUAUGCGUUUUGUGAUAAUUGUUUGUGGAAGUAAGUAUGGUGUAAAUGUGGUGUUCAAUUUCAGAGCAUGUAGGAGGUAGGUGUUCACUUAAUGGUGUAUUGCAGGUGUUUACAUUUCAGUACUAGUGUGUGUUUGAGAGUGUUCACUUGACAGUAUGUGCAGGUGUUCUUUCAACAUUGUGUAUAGGAAGUGUUCAAUUAUCAGUUUGCAGGAAGUGUUCACUAAUCAGUGUGUAUAGGAAGUGUUCACUAUCAGUGUGUGUAGGAAGUGUUCACUUAUCAGUGUGUGUAGGA